GAUGAACGCUGGCGGCGUGCCUAAUACAUGCAAGUCGAGCGAACAGAUGUGGAGCUUGCUCCUCUGACGUUAGCGGCGGACGGGUGAGUAACACGUGGAUAACCUACCUAUAAGACUGGGAUAACUUCGGGAAACCGGAGCUAAUACCGGAUAAUAUAUUGAACCGCAUGGUUCAAUAGUGAAAGACGGUUUUGCUGUCACUUAUAGAUGGAUCCGCGCCGCAUUAGCUAGUUGGUAAGGUAACGGCUUACCAAGGCAACGAUGCGUAGCCGACCUGAGAGGGUGAUCGGCCACACUGGAACUGAGACACGGUCCAGACUCCUACGGGAGGCAGCAGUAGGGAAUCUUCCGCAAUGGGCGAAAGCCUGACGGAGCAACGCCGCGUGAGUGAUGAAGGUCUUCGGAUCGUAAAACUCUGUUAUUAGGGAAGAACAAAUGUGUAAGUAACUAUGCACGUCUUGACGGUACCUAAUCAGAAAGCCACGGCUAACUACGAG
rnacentral:rRNA from 1 species